rfam:Myotis davidii contig17770, whole genome shotgun sequence.
GGCGGUUCUUGGGUGACACACCCUGGGAUUGGACUCUCUUCUGUCUGGUUCCAGGUGCAUCACCCGAAAACCGCA